rnacentral:misc_RNA from 1 species
AGUUAAUGUUGGGUUGCCUCCAGCUGCAGUGUAUGAUACAAUGACUGACCCUGACUAUAGAAGAGUUUUCAAAAACAUCAAGGUAAAUUGAAUGUCUCAUUCUAUAUUCUUUAUUUUUAAUUAGCAAAUGUGAUUCCUCAAAACUUAUUAGGUAGUCAAAGUUAGAUAUUCUAUUUUUAAUUCUUUGUAAAUUGUUUUAUAUUUCACAAUACUUCUUCUUGUGACUAUUUUUUCUCAUUUGAAAAUUUUAGCAUUUCAUCACAAAUUCUAUCUAGAUUUUGAGGGCAAAAACUAAUUUCUGUGCAGGAAGUGAUAUCGAGGAAAGUUCUGCUUGAUGAAGGUCCAAGGCAGCUAGUUGAAUUGGAACAAGCAGCUA